rnacentral:rRNA from 1 species
AGCAGCAGCCGCGGUAAUACGUAGGUGGCAAGCGUUGUCCGGAAUUAUUGGGCGUAAAGGGCUCGCAGGCGGUUUCUUAAGUCUGAUGUGAAAGCCCCCGGCUCAACCGGGGAGGGUCAUUGGAAACUGGGAAACUUGAGUGCAGAAGAGGAGAGUGGAAUUCCACGUGUAGCGGUGAAAUGCGUAGAGAUGUGGAGGAACACCAGUGGCGAAGGCGACUCUCUGGUCUGUAACUGACGCUGAGGAGCGAAAGCGUGGGGAGCGAACAGGAUUAGAUACCCGGGUAGUCCCUGUCUCUUAUAC